rnacentral:rRNA from 1 species
GGUUAAGCGACUAAGCGUACACGGUGGAUGCCCUGGCAGUCAGAGGCGAUGAAGGACGUGCUAAUCUGCGAUAAGCGUCGGUAAGGUGAUAUGAACCGUUAUAACCGGCGAUUUCCGAAUGGGGAAACCCAGUGUGUUUCGACACACUAUCAUUAACUGAAUCCAUAGGUUAAUGAGGCGAACCGGGGGAACUGAAACAUCUAAGUACCCCGAGGAAAAGAAAUCAACCGAGAUUCCCCCAGUAGCGGCGAGCGAACGGGGAGCAGCCCAGAGCCUGAAUCAGUGUGUGUGUUAGUGGAAGCGUCUGGAAAGGCGCGCGAUACAGGGUGACAGCCCCGUACACAAAAAUGCACAUGCUGUGAGCUCGAUGAGUAGGGCGGGACACGUGGUAUCCUGUCUGAAUAUGGGGGGACCAUCCUCCAAGGCUAAAUACUCCUGACUGACCGAUAGUGAACCAGUACCGUGAGGGAAAGGCGAAAAGAACCCCGGCGAGGGGAGUGAAAAAGAACCUGAAACCGUGUACGUACAAGCAGUGGGAGCACGCUUAGGCGUGUGACUGCGUACCUUUUGUAUAAUGGGUCAGCGACUUAUAUUCUGUAGCAAGGUUAACCGAAUAGGGGAGCCGAAGGGAAACCGAGUCUUAACUGGGCGUUAAGUUGCAGGGUAUAGACCCGAAACCCGGUGAUCUAGCCAUGGGCAGGUUGAAGGUUGGGUAACACUAACUGGAGGACCGAACCGACUAAUGUUGAAAAAUUAGCGGAUGACUUGUGGCUGGGGGUGAAAGGCCAAUCAAACCGGGAGAUAGCUGGUUCUCCCCGAAAGCUAUUUAGGUAGCGCCUCGUGAAUUCAUCUCCGGGGGUAGAGCACUGUUUCGGCAAGGGGGUCAUCCCGACUUACCAACCCGAUGCAAACUGCGAAUACCGGAGAAUGUUAUCACGGGAGACACACGGCGGGUGCUAACGUCCGUCGUGAAGAGGGAAACAACCCAGACCGCCAGCUAAGGUCCCAAAGUCAUGGUUAAGUGGGAAACGAUGUGGGAAGGCCCAGACAGCCAGGAUGUUGGCUUAGAAGCAGCCAUCAUUUAAAGAAAGCGUAAUAGCUCACUGGUCGAGUCGGCCUGCGCGGAAGAUGUAACGGGGCUAAACCAUGCACCGAAGCUGCGGCAGCGACGCUUAUGCGUUGUUGGGUAGGGGAGCGUUCUGUAAGCCUGUGAAGGUGUGCUGUGAGGCAUGCUGGAGGUAUCAGAAGUGCGAAUGCUGACAUAAGUAACGAUAAAGCGGGUGAAAAGCCCGCUCGCCGGAAGACCAAGGGUUCCUGUCCAACGUUAAUCGGGGCAGGGUGAGUCGACCCCUAAGGCGAGGCCGAAAGGCGUAGUCGAUGGGAAACAGGUUAAUAUUCCUGUACUUGGUGUUACUGCGAAGGGGGGACGGAGAAGGCUAUGUUGGCCGGGCGACGGUUGUCCCGGUUUAAGCGUGUAGGCUGGUUUUCCAGGCAAAUCCGGAAAAUCAAGGCUGAGGCGUGAUGACGAGGCACUACGGUGCUGAAGCAACAAAUGCCCUGCUUCCAGGAAAAGCCUCUAAGCAUCAGGUAACAUCAAAUCGUACCCCAAACCGACACAGGUGGUCAGGUAGAGAAUACCAAGGCGCUUGAGAGAACUCGGGUGAAGGAACUAGGCAAAAUGGUGCCGUAACUUCGGGAGAAGGCACGCUGAUACGUAGGUGAAGUCCCUCGCGGAUGGAGCUGAAAUCAGUCGAAGAUACCAGCUGGCUGCAACUGUUUAUUAAAAACACAGCACUGUGCAAACACGAAAGUGGACGUAUACGGUGUGACGCCUGCCCGGUGCCGGAAGGUUAAUUGAUGGGGUCAGCGCAAGCGAAGCUCUUGAUCGAAGCCCCGGUAAACGGCGGCCGUAACUAUAACGGUCCUAAGGUAGCGAAAUUCCUUGUCGGGUAAGUUCCGACCUGCACGAAUGGCGUAAUGAUGGCCAGGCUGUCUCCACCCGAGACUCAGUGAAAUUGAACUCGCUGUGAAGAUGCAGUGUACCCGCGGCAAGACGGAAAGACCCCGUGAACCUUUACUAUAGCUUGACACUGAACAUUGAGCCUUGAUGUGUAGGAUAGGUGGGAGGCUUNNNNNNNNNNNNNNNNNNNNNNNNNNNNNNNNNNNNNNNNNNNNNNNNNNNNNNNNNNNNNNNNNNNAUCCGGGUUGCGGACAGUGUCUGGUGGGUAGUUUGACUGGGGCGGUCUCCUCCUAAAGAGUAACGGAGGAGCACGAAGGUUGGCUAAUCCUGGUCGGACAUCAGGAGGUUAGUGCAAUGGCAUAAGCCAGCUUGACUGCGAGCGUGACGGCGCGAGCAGGUGCGAAAGCAGGUCAUAGUGAUCCGGUGGUUCUGAAUGGAAGGGCCAUCGCUCAACGGAUAAAAGGUACUCCGGGGAUAACAGGCUGAUACCGCCCAAGAGUUCAUAUCGACGGCGGUGUUUGGCACCUCGAUGUCGGCUCAUCACAUCCUGGGGCUGAAGUAGGUCCCAAGGGUAUGGCUGUUCGCCAUUUAAAGUGGUACGCGAGCUGGGUUUAGAACGUCGUGAGACAGUUCGGUCCCUAUCUGCCGUGGGCGCUGGAGAACUGAGGGGGGCUGCUCCUAGUACGAGAGGACCGGAGUGGACGCAUCACUGGUGUUCGGGUUGUCAUGCCAAUGGCACUGCCCGGUAGCUAAAUGCGGAAGAGAUAAGUGCUGAAAGCAUCUAAGCACGAAACUUGCCCCGAGAUGAGUUCUCCCUGACUCCUUGAGAGUCCUGAAGGAACGUUGAAGACGACGACGUUGAUAGGCCGGGUGUGUAAGCGCAGCGAUGCGUUGAGCUAACCGGUACUAAUGAACCGUGAGGCUUAACCUU